CGCGCAGAAACACUCAGUGCUGUCCUGGGAAGUUCGAGGCAAAUGCUUUUUUCAAUGCUCAGGCACGCCCCCGUGGUACCCGAAUGUCCGGAAAAGUCCGUCGCAUGUCUGGUAUCAUUCAUCAAGUGCCUCGCCCUACCUAGACUCAUGAUUCCUGCGCUCUGUGUUCGCAGGAUAUGGGACGUCCUCCAAAAGCGUCGCCUGGGUUGUGGGCGCUAGCGGGCAAGCGACGUGAAUCUGGAAAAGGUUUUUUCCGCAAGACAGAGAUAGAUCCCGACAUAACGCGCUGUGCCGUUCAGCAGGCCUCACUUUUCUCGGAUUGUCUUGUAGUCAGGGGGCGUUUGCACCAUAGCAAACCCCUACACCGACACUCUGCCGGUCCCUCCGCCGUCUGGACAUAAAAAAUUCGUGGCUUUCUAUUGCAGAAAGCCACACUGGGAAAACAUAGGAAGUACGGGUAGGAGCAUCACAGCUUGUGAUUCGAGGGAACGUUACGACUGGAGAGACACGAGCGACGUUAGUGCCGCUUGCUGUGGCCGCAGCGUCUUGCUGGGCCGCUUCACACUUUCGGCAGUGGAACAUGUGUCUGCUCUACACUUCAGUUAACGCGAUGACUCUACAUGGGUCGACGAGCACCAUUCAUUUCUAAACAGAACGCAUUUCUAGCAAGGCUGGGGGAACUGUGCCGUCGCUACCCACCUCGUCUACCCUGAGAAGGUCUGGUUCUAGGAGAGUGUUCCUGAGUCCAAAGUACUUCACACGGAACGGACAAUUUCCGCAUGGUCUCCGGUGGCAUGUACCAGGCUGGGCGUACGCGUGUUGUGUCUUUCGUUCGGAAACCCGCCAGGUGACGAU
rnacentral:lncRNA from 1 species